GAGUGUGACAUAGUUGAAAAGUCCAAGAUGCGAUCAUACACGAACUUCUCAGUUAAACGUGCUUGAACGAGAGUAGCAUUAGGAUGGGUGACCUUCUGAAAAGUCAUUGUGUUGCACUCU
rnacentral:rRNA from 1 species